AGUCAAUGUUAAGUUGAACAAACGAAGUUUGGAUCCUAUGACAGCCAGGAUGUUGGCUUGGAAGCAGCCAUUCAUUUAAAGAGUGCGUAACAGCUCACUGGUCGAGGGUCCGGGCACGGAAAAUGAUCGGGCAUCAAACAUGGCGCCGAAGUUGUAAAUUGUACUUAGGUACUAUGGUAGGGGAGCAUUCCGGCCAGCGGUGAAGGUGUG
rnacentral:rRNA from 1 species